CCGAUGCCUUGGGAGUCUACAGCAGGGCCAUGUCUGUGAGGGCCCAAGGGUGCAUGUGUCUCCCAGGUUUCGGUGC
ensembl:miRNA